rnacentral:rRNA from 1 species
GACGAACGCUGGCGGCGUGCUUAACACAUGCAAGUCGAACGGAAAGGCCCUGCUUUUGUGGGGUGCUCGAGUGGCGAACGGGUGAGUAACACGUGAGUAACCUGCCCUUGACUUUGGGAUAACUUCAGGAAACUGGGGCUAAUACCGGAUAGGAGCUCCUGCUGCAUGGUGGGGGUUGGAAAGUUUCGGCGGUUGGGGAUGGACUCGCGGCUUAUCAGCUUGUUGGUGGGGUAGUGGCUUACCAAGGCUUUGACGGGUAGCCGGCCUGAGAGGGUGACCGGCCACAUUGGGACUAAGAUACGGCCCAGACUCCUACGGGAGGCAGCAGUCGGGAAUAUUGCACAAUGGGCGGAAGCCUGAUGCAGCAACGCCGCGUGCGGGAUGACGGCCUUCGGGUUGUAAACCGCUUUCGCCUGUGACGAAGCGUGAGUGACGGUAAUGGGUAAAGAAGCACCGGCUAACUACGUG